GGGCGGAAGCCUGAUGCAGCGACGCCGCGUGAGGGAUGACGGCCUUCGGGUUGUAAACCUCUUUCAGCAGGGACGAAGCGUGAGUGACGGUACCUGCAGAAGAAGCGCCGGCCAACUACGUGCCAGCAGCCGCGGUAAGACGUAGGGCGCGAGCGUUGUCCGGAUUUAUUGGGCGUAAAGAGCUCGUAGGCGGCUUGUCGCGUCGUCCGUGAAAACCUGGGGCUCAACUCCAGGCUUGCGGUCGAUACGGGCAGGCUCGAGUUCGGUAGGGGAGACUGGAAUUCCUGGUGUAGCGGUGAAAUGCGCAGAUAUCAGGAGGAACACCGGUGGCGAAGGCGGGUCUCUGGGCCGAUACUGACGCUGAGGAGCGAAAGCGUGGGGAGCGAACAGGAUUAGAUACCCUGGUAGUCCACGCUGUAAACGUUGGGCGCUAGGUGUGGGGGGCCUCUCCGGUUCUCUGUGCCGCAGCUAACGCAUUAAGCGCCCCGCCUGGGGAGU
rnacentral:rRNA from 1 species